UUCUGCAAACUAUUAUUUUCCAAAUCCCUCUCUCACUCGUCCCUAACCCCAAACUCGCUCUCUCUCUCUCUCUCUGUGUGUACCCCAAAUCUUUCUUUCGCCAUCUUUGACCCCAAAUUCUCUGGCCCUCUCUAACCCAAACCCUCUAGCUUUCUCUCCCAUCUAGAAACCAUCUUCGUUCCCAAACCCUCUCACGCCUACACUCUUAAGGCUCCCUGUCUCUCGCACUCCUAUUUUUUCAAGAUUUUAGCCUAAAAAUUCAAUCUGAAAACUGAUGGUGUUUCGUUCCCAAACACUUUCAAGGGACCAAUGUUCAAGCACUCUGUUUAAUCCUUGAGUUAAGAGCAGCAGGUAAGUGUGUGUUGACUGCUUAAGGCUGAAUAAAAAAGCCAACACUAAUAGAAGGUGCUAGUUUGUUUUUAACCAAUUAGAGAUGGAUAUAUCAAUAAAUAUGGUGUUGGUGAUGCUAGCACUUGGAAUUAAUGUACUGUUGUCUCAGGUUGUGAGUCUUUGUAAUCUUGGUUUUAUGCAAAUCUAAGCUUGUGACUUAUGCAAAUUUGCUACUUUGACAGUGAUGAUUGAAAUGGAAGAUAUAUUCAAUUUCAAGGUCUGUCAUAGAUACGCUUGUGACUAAUGAAACUGUUAGCUAAACAGUGUGUAGUUGAAGAUAAACAUGUGCAGGAGACAGAAGAAGGAUAUGGCAUUGUCAUUGCAAGUGAGUUUCUAGGUAAUCACUCGCAGUAAAGCUCCAUCGAAUGUUUCUGGGUGGAAAAAAGUGUGGUUGGAGACGAAGAAGGAUAUGGCAUUGGCAUUGCAGAUUUAUUUGAGGAGGUGGAAGGAUUUGGUUUGGGGUUUUGGACAGAGGACCAUUUGAGGAAGAUGAUUGAUGAGUUUGAGAAGAUCAAGCAAACAAUUGGCAGUGUUUGGGAUUCCACGAUAUUAGGUCACAGUCUCUAUCCCACAGGUGUUAAAGAUCAUGACUACAAAACUUGGGGAUACAAAAGGAAUAGUAUACAUGCAUUUUGUUUUUUGGGUUCAAAAUAGUAUACAGGCUUA